rnacentral:rRNA from 1 species
AUUGAACGCUGGCGGCAUGCCUUACACAUGCAAGUCGAACGGCAGCACGGGGGCAACCCUGGUGGCGAGUGGCGAACGGGUGAGUAAUGCAUCGGAACGUGUCCUCUUGUGGGGGAUAACCAGUCGAAAGAUUGGCUAAUACCGCAUGAGAUCGCAAGAUGAAAGCGGGGGACCGCAAGGCCUCGCGCGAGAGGAGCGGCCGAUGCCGGAUUAGCUAGUUGGUGGGGUAAAGGCCUACCAAGGCGACAAUCCGUAGCUGGUCUGAGGGGACGACCAGCCACACUGGGACUGAGACACGGCCCAGACUCCUACGGGAGGCAGCAGUGGGGAAUUUUGGACAAUGGGCGCAAGCCUGAUUCAGCCAUGCCGCGUGUGUGAAGAAGGCCUUCGGGUUGUAAAGCACUUUCGGACGGAACGAAAUCGCGCGGGCGAACAUCCCGCGUGGAUGACGGUACCGUAAGAAGAAGCACCGGCUAACUACGUGCCAGCCGCCGCAGUAA